ACAGGUAGUCGAGGAGAGAAUCCUAAGGUGAGCGAGAGAACUCUCGUUAAGGAACUCGGCAAAAUGACCCCGUAACUUCGGGAGAAGGGGUGCUGAUCUAAGAUCAGCCGCAGUGAAUAGGCCCAAGCGACUGUUUAUCAAAAACACAGGUCUCUGCAAAAUCGUAAGAUGAAGUAUAGGGGCUGACGCCUGCCCGGUGCUGGAAGGUUAAGAGGAGUGCUUAGCGUAUGCGAAGGUACGAAUUGAAGCCCCAGUAAACGGCGGCCGUAACUAUAACGGUCCUAAGGUAGCGAAAUUCCUUGUCGGGUAAGUUCCGACCCGCACGAAAGGCGUAACGAUUUGGGCACUGUCUCAACGAGAGACUCGGUGAAAUUUUAGUACCUGUGAAGAUGCAGGUUACCCGCGACAGGACGGAAAG
rnacentral:rRNA from 1 species